rnacentral:rRNA from 1 species
CGCAUCUGUGCAUGCAGCAUAUCAAUAAGCGGAGGAAAAGAAACUAACAAGGAUUCCCCUAGUAACGGCGAGUGAAGCGGGAAGAGCUCAAAUUUGAAAUCUUAAAGGGUUUCCCUUUACGAAUUGUAGUUUAAAGAAGUGUUUUCUGUUGAGGUUUUGGUAAAAGUUCUUUGGAAUAGGACAUCAUAGAGGGUGAGAAUCCCGUAUUUGACCUUUACUUUCAACUUUGUGAUACACUUUCAAAGAGUCGGAUUGUUUGGGAAUGCAGUCCAAAAUGGGUGGUAAAUUUCAUCUAAAGCUAAAUAUUGGCGAGAGACCGAUAGCGAACAAGUACCGUGAGGGAAAGAUGAAAGAACUUUGAAAAGAGAGUUAAACAGUACGUGAAAUUGUCAAAAGGGAAGCGUUUGACACCAGUGUUGUUUUUCUGAAAAUCAAUUAAAGAACUGUUUAUGCUAAGUUGUUUAGACUUUAUCAGCUAACUGUUUAGUUUUGAGCUUUUCUUUAAUGCACUUUUCAGUUAACAAGUCAACAUCAAUUUCUUUUGCUGUAAAAAAGCUUGAGGAAGGUGGCUUGAGAUUCGUCUUAAGUGUUUAUAGCCUCUUGCCUAUGCAGUCGGAGAGAUUGAGGUCUGCAGCGUAGAUCCUUCGGGGCUAAAUGCAUUUGUGCUAAGUUAUAGCAUUUUAUAGACAACUUGUUGACUAUGAUUUGUCUUGUAGCUUACUCGCUUAUGUUAUUUUACCUACGCUUAGGAUGUUGAGUCAUCACACAUCUCU